UCUCCGUAGGUGAACCUGCGGAGGGAUCAUUACAGAGUUCAUGCCCUACCGGGUAGAUCUCCCACCCUAUGUUACUAUUACUUUGUUGCUUUGGCGGGCCGUUAGGCUCCGGCCCGACUACCGGCCCCGGCUGGUAAGCGUCCGCCAGAGGACCCAAAACCCUGAAUAUUAGUGUCGUCUGAGUACUAUAUAAUAGUUAAAACUUUCAACAACGGAUCUCUUGGUUCUGGCAAUCGAUGAAGAACGCAGC
rnacentral:misc_RNA from 1 species